GGGAGCUGAUCCUUUAGCACUAAAAUGGUCGUUUCUAUCCAAACUGUCAAUAGAGGUCAUCUGUUAAGAGAAACCCAAAGCUGAAAGAGAUGGAGCCACCUUUCUUAGUGUUCCAGCAAGUGACAAAGGUCCCACACAGCGAAAGUGUGCCAACACAGCUGAUGGGAAACGAAGACUCAAGUCAGACAACCAGGUUCCCUUGACCAAAUCCAACUAUCACAUAGGGUGAUUUUUCCUCUCUGAAUUAACCAUUCUUUGAAUAAACCAAUAACGACAACUGGCU
rnacentral:lncRNA from 1 species